rnacentral:lncRNA from 1 species
UGGAGGUGCAGGUUUGAUGCCCAGGCCAGCGCAGUGUGUUAAAGGAUCCCAUUACUGGAGCUACUGCUCAGAUUUAAUCCCUGGCCUGUAAAUGCCCAUGUGCAGUAGGUGCAGCCAUAAAAAUUAAAAAAAAAUGAAGACAAGUAUAAUAGAAAUCAAAUUAAUAGGAAUCUUAAAAAUAUCUUUUACGUUUACCAAUUUACCUUUAUCGUUUAUUUUUUGUUUAUUCCUAUGGGAAUCUAUGAUAAAACUUAUAAGAAUGUUUGUGUUCUUUCAGUGUCAAGAAAGCUACUAUUUUUAAAAGUCCCAAUAAAUUUUUCCUAAAAAGUAAAAAAAAAUAUAUCAGAUAGUAUUGUUUUUUUAAAGACUACUGUUUUAAGGACAGCCCUAUUCUCUUUAGCAAAUGAUAUGUUUGAAGAUGAGGGAGUUUGAAGAUGGAACAUAAACUUUAGGAAUAAGAACAGAAGGCCCACUCGGCUUGGGUCUUGGUUAUUGCUGUUGUUGGUUGGUGAGUUGCCUCUACAAGUCCUGUGGCAGCAGCAGGAUGCAGGAGCGCUGGGCAGGCACAAGGAAAGUGUCUGGGCAGCAGGGAGGUAGGGGUAUGGGGACCCUGUGCCCUUUCAUCAGCGCUUUGUUCACUAUUGGACCAUCGGGUACUGAACACUGCCACGUGUCAAGUGUGUGGUGGGCCAGGCACUGGAAAAGGGGACCAUUCUCAUGGAUAUUACAGUAAAGGAUACAGAUAUCAAGGAAUACACUAAUGUAUUAACUAUUAAACUGUAAAAGGGCUACGGAGAAACGGCUUGUAAGAGGAUAGAUGGCAAGACAUUGAUCACACCUGGCUAAAGGCAAAGCUUAGCCAGGUGCGAUGCUGUAUUUAAGGAUAAAAUAAAAAUACUUUGUUCCCAACUUAAAAAACAAAAGAAAUAAAAAUCCUGCUUACCAUGUGGACCUCAUUUGUGAAUUAUUCAUUUACCAUUUAUUUAUAAAAAUAUGAUAUUUCCUACAUGUGCAGUGCCUACACAGCCCUGUUGACAAUACAAUGUGAAUUGACAGAGGAGCAAGUAAAAGAAGAUAUGGUAUAUUUAUGCAAUGGAAUAUUACUCAGCCAUAAAAAUGCAUGAACUAAUGCCAUCUGCAGCAACAUGGAUGCAACUAGAGAUUAUCAUACUAAGUGAUGUAAGUCAAAGACAAAUAUAAUGACAUCACUUUUAUGUGGAAUCUAAAAAAUUCUAAUAAGUUCUUUUGUGUGUGUAUACAUGUAUUUCCAAACCAGAAAGAGAUUCAAGACACAGAAAACAAACUUAGGGUUACCAAAGGGAAAAGGGCGUGGAGGGAGGAAUAAACUAGUAAUUUGGGAUUAAGGUACACACUACUAUAUAUGAAAUAGAUAAUCAACAAGGACCUACUGUAUAGCAUAGGGAACUCAAUACUAUGUAAUAACCUGUAAGUGAAAAGAUUCUGUGUAUGUAUAUCUUUAAAAUCAACUACAGCUAAAAAAAAAAAAAAGCUAGCAUGUGCAAGGGAGCAGGUGAAGAUUAUCCUGAGGAGGCCACUGCUCAGCAAGUGCGUGCAAUCUCAUCAUUCUUUUAUGUUUUAACCAAACUGAUUUCUUUUUGCUGUAUGCCUACAUGCAUUUCAUUCUUCUGAUCACUUCUAUCUUAGGUGAUUUCCCAGUAUUGUAUAAUAUGCCUGCAUUUUGAGGAAACAUCUUCAAACCAUUCACAAAGAGAUGCACAAGCCAAUGGAUAUUAAGGGGAAGAGAACCAGAAGCAGCACAGCCCUUCCAGCACAAAGUUUUCCAAAUUGGGAGAACAUUCAAAAGAUGGAAGAAAGCACAGAGAUGGGAAGUAGAAAGGAUGUAUUGGAGGAGAAGGCCCUGCUGGUAAAUUGGGUUCCAGGUUCUUGGAAGGAUAUAGGGCAGACAUUUUACAGAAAGAGGUUGAUUUUUAAAGUAGAUAGGGCCUAGGAUGCUGGAAUUCUAGGAGUUUCAAUGUGAGUCUUGGGAAGCAAAAAUCUAGCUGCCCAGCAGAAGAACCAAGACAGAAUUUCUAGGAGAGGUUUGGAUGCAAAGAUUUGGAAAUUAUUUACAUUCGGGUGUCACCUGAAAUCUGUUGACUGUUGGCGAUUAAGUAGGGCGAACACAGUGAUUGAGAAGGGUAGGGAGCCAGCACUGCUUUCCCAGAGGCCUGACAGCGGCUUCAAUACAUGGAGAGCUGGAAAGCUUUGUGGAGAAAGAUGCUGAAACUGAUUCUUGAAUUCCUAAGAGAAGGUGCAUAACUUCUAAAUACUCUCCGCAUUUGGAGAAACAAAACCAGAAUCCAAGAGGAUGUCAAAGAGAGGUUGCAUCAAUGAAAUCAGUGAGCUUUAGUCCCCACAAAUACCAUGACAAUGUUCAUUUCCUUUUAAGUACUUAAACAGUUAGUGUGUCCACUGAAACAUUAGUAGAUCUCAUCAGAGAAUAUGCUUCAAUAAUGCAUAAAUAUGUAAUGCAUCGGAUAGAUGGCACUCUUUUGAAUCUUAAAAGACAUAUUUGGAUUGCCACUGGUAGCAUUAUAAAAACUCCCUCCCCUCAAAAGUGAAGGGCAUCAAAUUUAACAGAAUAAAAGAGUUGACAGGCAUGUCAUUGAACUGCAAGGUUCUGAAAUUACUACAUUGUAGUAAAAAGCCCCAAUAUCGCAGUGCUUUAAUUACUUCUUUAACAUAACCACGUGAACCAGGAUAAGAUAUUUAUGGUAGUUUGGCUCCAAAUUACAAUCCACCUUUUUCCUCAAACUCCUUAGAAGUGCCUAUCAAAUGAUUUGUUACGCUCUUAAAUUUUUCAAUGAUACAUUUAAAAUCACUCAAAAUACAUUCAAUGUUAUCCUUAUAACAAAGUCGUCCUCACUUACUUGCACAGAAGGGAUCCACAAACACCAGGGAGAGCAUCUGUGGCUCAAAAAAAAGAACCCAUUGCCAAGGGAGGAAGGGCCGGAAACGGGAGUAGAGGAUAAGGAGGAGGCAGGCUCCACCCUGCCACGGGCUCAUCAGCCCAAGUCAGUACAGCUGGAUGACCACGUGGGUGGCGCUCUGGACCAGGGGCCCAACCCUACACCUACCCUGCUUUUUAUUGGCCAUGAAUGGCGAUGGGCUGUUUGUUAAGGGGAAAGCAGUGGAAAAGCAAUUAAAGCCUGUGCGCCAAGAGUUCAGGGAAACAGCACAGAAGCUCUGAUCAUCCUGCCCAGACCUUCCACCCUGAAGGAGGUCAGGCCUCCUGCCCAGCCCGGAGGCAAACAUCUUUGUCUUCUCUUGCUACAUUCAGACAUCUUUUUUUGCAAGUGGGGGAAAGGAAGAGUGACUGUCAGUAAGCUAGAAUCAUUGUUUUCAUCACUGUAGUAUGUAUUUUAGAAACGUUAUAGGCUGAUUCUUACAAUCAAUGGCUUGUCAUAGUUUAAACAUAAACAUUUUUUUUUUCUGACUCAUAUGGUACAUAUGGUGUGUUUUACAACUGGUUUUAGAUGUGGUGAAUUGAAAUAAUUAUGAAAAAUCCUGGUCAUGCCAGUGGAAGUGUAUCUGGCAUUUGUGCUAAUACUACCCAGCAUGUGUGGAACUGGGGAAACGUCUCCCAUUUAACCACUGCCUUGAAAUAAUCAUCACACACACAGAGAAUAACUGAUUUCUGGGUUUGCCUUUAGGGAUGAAGCCAUUUUUGGUUUCUUUUUUUUUACUUUUUUAUUUUUUAAAGUUUUAUUGAACUAUAGUUGAUUUACAACUAAAGUUUUAAUGAUUUCUGCUGUACAACAAAGUGAUCCAGUUAUACAUAUACACAUAUCCAUUCUCUUUCAGACUCUUUUCUAACAUAGAUUAUCACAGAAUAUUGGGUAGAGUUCUCUGCAGAAGCCAUUUUUGGAAAACUACUUUAUGGGAAAACUGUCUUAUCAGGUCAGCUUCAUUAGGACCAUGGAAAAAUGGGAAAGGAGGGUAUUUUAAUUUUCAGAGGUAGUCCUUCCUCUUGGGGAUGUUGGCAUCCUCCGUUAUAAAGAGGGUGUAAGAGUCUUGUGGUUAGACAACAUUUUCUCAAGAGCUUUGCAGGAGACUGUGCUGCAUAGUGAUAGUCAGACUACCUACAUUGACAGCACCAUUCAUUAAAAGCCCCUCAUUUCAAAAUAUUUUUAAAUCAAAGUUAUAAAAUUAGUCUCAUGCCAACACAACUGUUAAUAUUACAGAUGUUUCCUUCUAGUUUUAUUUUCAUAAUCAUAUUUUACAUUGUUGUUGCAUGUAUAUACAAUUUUGUAUCUACUGUCUAUUUACUUAAAACUAGAUUACAAGGAUUUACUGAGUGGUAACUAGGCUUUGUCAGUUGCCACCUUAAAUGGCUCUAUAAUAGUUUCUUAAAUGAAUGUACUGUAUCUUAUAUUUUAUUUUCCCUAUUGUUUUCAAAAACCUAUGAGGUCUAUGUAUUUUGACAUAUUUAGGUAGCAUUUAAGAAACAAGUUUUAGGAUGUCAAUGGGUACUCACUUUAUUAUGACUUUUGUAUAACAAAUAUACUAAUUACCUGAAUACUAUUUAUAGUAGUACAUAUAUACAUGGUGCUUAGGUUAGUAAUGUUGAUUAGCUUUACUUCAAUUAACACUCUUUCACAGAAUGGGAGAAAAUAUUUGCAAAUGAAGCAAUAGCCAAAGUAUUAACCUCCAAAAUUUAACAACUCAUGCAGCUCAGUAUCAAAAACAAACAACCCAUCAAAAAAUGGGCAGAAGGUCUAAACAGACAUUUCUCCAAAGACAUACAGAUGG